rnacentral:rRNA from 1 species
AUGUCAGCGCUUGAGAUUCUUCAGUUUGUUAUGGCUGUAGAUUGCUAUCCAAAUGUCUCUGUUGCCUAUCGGAUCCUCUUAACAGUGCCUGUGACUGUAGCCUCAGCUGAAAGAAGUUUCUCUAACCUGAAACUACUAAAAAAUUAUUUGAGGUCAACUAUGUUGCAAGAUAGAUUGAAUGGCCUGGCUAUUUGCUGCAUUGAGAAGGAUAUCUUGGACAAUGUUGAUCUUGAUUGUGCCCUUAAUGACUUCGCAUCAAGAAAUGCCCGAAGAAACUUUUUUUGA